AUUGAACGCUGGCGGCAUGCCUUACACAUGCAAGUCGAACGGCAGCGGGCCUUCGGGUGCCGGCGAGUGGCGAACGGGUGAGUAAUGCAUCGGAACGUGCCAUUGAGUGGGGGAUAACGUAGCGAAAGUUGCGCUAAUACCGCAUAUUCUGUGAGCAGGAAAGCAGGGGACCGCAAGGCCUUGCGCUCUUUGAGCGGCCGAUGUCAGAUUAGCUAGUUGGUGAGGUAAAGGGCUUACCAAGGCGACGAUCUGUAGCGGGUCUGAGAGGAUGAUCCGCCACACUGGAACUGAGACACGGUCCAGACUCCUACGGGAGGCAGCAGUGGGGAAUUUUGGGACAAUGGGGGCAACCCUGAUCCAGCCAUGCCGCGUGAGUGAAGAAGGCCUUCGGUUGUAAG
rnacentral:rRNA from 1 species